rnacentral:rRNA from 1 species
GCCCAGACUCCUACGGGAGGCAGCAGUGGGGAAUAUUGCACAAUGGGGGAAACCCUGAUGCAGCGACGCCGCGUGAGCGAUGAAGUAUUUCGGUAUGUAAAGCUCUAUCAGCAGGGAAGAAAAUGACGGUACCUGACUAAGAAGCCCCGGCUAACUACGUGCCAGCAGCCGCGGUAAUACGUAGGGGGCAAGCGUUAUCCGGAUUUACUGGGUGUAAAGGGAGCGUAGACGGCUGUGCAAGCCAGAUGUGAAAGCCCGGGGCUCAACCCCGGGACUGCAUUUGGAACUGUGUGGCUGGAGUGUCGGAGAGGCAGGCGGAAUUCCUAGUGUAGCGGUGAAAUGCGUAGAUAUCAGGAGGAACACCGGUGGCGAAGGCGGCCUGCUGGACUGCAACUGACGUUGAGGCCCGAAAGCGUGGGGAGCAAACAGGAUUAGAUACCCGAGUA